rnacentral:rRNA from 1 species
UGAGGAAUUUUGCGCAAUGGGAGCAAUCCUGACGCAGCAACGCCGCGUGGGUGAUGAAGGCCUUCGGGUCGUAAAGCCCUGUCAGGUGGGAAGAAUGUCCCGGGACUGAACAGGUUUCGGGAGUGACGGUACCACCAGAGGAAGCACCGGCUAACUCCGUGCCAGCAGCCGCUGUAAUACGGAGGGUGCAAGCGUUAUUCGGACUUACUGGGCGUCAAGCGCGUGUAGGCGGCCCUGCAAGUCUGAUGUGAAAGCCCCGGGCUUAACCCGGGAAGU